GGGGGACACUGCACACUGAUGAGCCGCAACAGUGCAAAUGAGGAGACCCAUCUCUGAAUUUCAUCUCCUUAGUGACCCCCCUCCCAGAAAUCAACCCGCAAGAGAACGCCCAAAGCUCUCUAUCUCUGUUCAUCACCGGAAUUCACCACCGGUCGACCACCCCAUAAACACGACCUCUGACCUGACCCAUCGCCUGAACCCCACAGCUCCAACUCUGCCGGAAACCAGACGCACGACGCCACAGCCGUCAUCGCCGCCGGCAGCACUCCCACUAAAAUCGACCACCAGCUGCCAGAUACACACGCACACAGGUCGUGAGGCGGAGGGAAACAUAGAGCUAAUAGAGAACAAAAAAGAGGAAAAAAACUGAAUAUAUAUCUUGUUUUUCUUCGUUUCUUAUUUCAGUUUUGUUUUUUUUUUAAAUCAUGGUAUUCGCUUGAGCAUUGGAAGAUUGUCGUUUUGGAUACAGGUUCGAGGUGUGUCGCGGUCGAGUUUGAGUUUUGUCGAAUUUCAGUUUGUUGGUUUUUUGGUGGCUGAUUUUCCGUUGAGGUCCGAUGGACAUUCGAUUGGAGACCUAUCAGUAAUCAAAUUCUUAAAAGCAUUUUGCUGCUCUAAGGUUCACUUUUACUCUCAUUGUAGUUCUUUUGUUUCCUUCAAUAAUCAUAAAUGGAUAAGUUCUGUUACUGAUAUUUUAGUGGUUACGUUUAGUGCUACUGAAUAAUGUCAUCUAUGUUGCUUCUAUGUUAACUUCUAUGAUUAUUGUUGAUAAAGUCGAUUCGUUGCAGUAAUAUCUUUUGUGGAUAAAAUUGCACAAUAGUGAGGCAUCAUAUUUUCAGUUUGGUAUAAAGUUGCAAUGUUGUGGAUACACAGGCGAGCAUUCUCACUUGAAGUUGUCUUAGCUAUUUUAUUUCCAUCGUCCAAUUUGACUAGUCUGGAAGCCUGAAUAUUGAGAUUGAGUUUGAUGGACUAUUAGGUGCCAUUACUUUAAG
rnacentral:lncRNA from 1 species